rnacentral:rRNA from 1 species
GACGAACGCUGGCGGCGUGCCUAAUACAUGCCAGUAGAACGCUGAAGCGAGGAGCUUGCUCUUCUUGGAUGAGUUGCGAACGGGUGAGUAACGCGUAGGUAACCUGCCUUGUAGCGGGGGAUAACUAUUGGAAACGAUAGCUAAUACCGCAUAACAAUGGAUGACACAUGUCAUUUAUUUGAAAGGGGCAAUUGUUCCACUACAAGAUGGACCUGCGUUGUAUUAGCUAGUAGGUGAGGUAAUGGCUCACCUAGGCGACGAUACAUAGCCGACCUGGGAGGGUGAUCGGCCAGACUGGGACUGAGACACGGCCCAGACGCAUACGGGAGGCAGCAGUAGGGAAUCUGCGGCAAGGGGGGCAACCCUGACCGAGCAACGCCGCGUGAGUGAAGAAGGUUUUCGGAUCGUAAAGCUCUGUUGUAAGUCAAGAACGGGUGUGAGAGUGGAAAGUUCACAGUGUGACGGUAGCUUACCAGAAAGGGACGGCUAACUACGUG